CCUACGGGAGGCAGCAGUGGGGAAUAUUGCACAAUGGGGGGAACCCUGAUGCAGCAACGCCGCGUGGGUGAAGAAGUACUUCGGUAUGUAAAGCCCUGUCAGCAGGGAAGAAAAUGAUGGUACCUGACCAAGAAGCCCUGGCCAACUACGUGCCAGCAGCCGCGGUAAUACGCGGGGGGCAAGCGUUAUCCGGAUUUACUGGGUGUAAAGGGAGCGUAGACGGCAAGGCAAGUCUGGAGGGAAAGCCCGUGGCUCAACCAGGGGACUGCUUUGGAAACUGGGUGGCUGGAGUGCAGGAGGGGGGAGCGGAAUUCCUGGUGUAGCGGUGAAAUGCGUAGAUAUUAGGAGGAACACCGGUGGCGAAGGCGGCUUACUGGAC
rnacentral:rRNA from 1 species